AUUGAACGCUGGCGGCAUGCUUUACACAUGCAAGUCGAACGGCAGCGGGGAGGAGCUUGCUUCUCUGCCGGCCAGUGGCGAACGGGUGAGUAAUACAUCGGAACGUGUCGAGAAGAGGGGGAUAACCACCCGAAAGGGUGGCUAAUACCGCAUAAAUUCUGAGGAAGAAAGCUGGGGACCUAGGAAUAGGCCUAGCGCUUUUUGAGCGGCCGAUGUCGGAUUAGCUAGUUGGUGAGGUAAAGGCUCACCAAGGCGAAGAUCUGUAGCGGGUCUGAGAGGAUGAUCCGCCACACUGGGACUGAGACACGGCCCAGACUCCUACGGGAGGCAGCAGUGGGGAAUUUUGGACAAUGGGGGCAACCCUGAUCCAGCCAUGCCGCGUGUAUGAAGAAGGCCUUAGGGUUGUAAAGUACUUUUGUUAGGGAAGAAAAGUCAGCUGUGAAUAAUGGCUGAUACUGACGGUACCUAAAGAAUAAGCACCGGCUAACUACGUG
rnacentral:rRNA from 1 species